rnacentral:rRNA from 1 species
UACGGGGGGGGCAAGCGUUGUUCGGAAUUACUGGGCGUAAAGGGCUCGUAGGCGGCCAACUAAGUCAGACGUGAAAUCCCUCGGCUUAACCGGGGAACUGCGUCUGAUACUGGAUGGCUUGAAUCCGGGAGAGGGAUGCGGAAUUCUAGGUGUAGCGGUGAAAUGCGUAGAUAUCUGGAGGAACACCGGUGGCGAAGGCGGCAUCCUGGACCGGCAUUGACGCUGAGAAGCGAAAGCCAGGGGAGCAAACGGG